rnacentral:rRNA from 1 species
UACGAAGGGGGCUAGCGUUAUUCGGAAUUACUGGGCGUAAAGCGCGCGCAGGCGGUCUUCCAAGUCAGUGGUGAAAGCCUGGAGCUCAACUCCAGAACUGCCAUUGAAACUGUUAGACUUGAGUACGAGAGAGGUGAGUGGAAUUCCCAGUGUAGAGGUGAAAUUCGUAGAUAUUAGGAAGAACACCGGUGGCGAAGGCGGCCCACUGGAUCGGUACUGACGCUGAGGUGCGAAAGCGUGGGGAGCAAACAGG